CAGUCGCCGCGGGAAUACGUAGGUCCCGAGCGUUGUCCGGAUUUAUUGGGCGUAAAGCGAGCGCAUGCGGUUAGAUAAGUUUGAAGUUAAAGGCUGUGGCUUAACCAUAGUACGCUUUGGAAACUGUUUAACUUGAGUGCAAGAGGGGAGAGUGGAAUUCCAUGUGUAGCGGUGAAAUGUGUAGAUAUAUGGAGGAACACCGGUGGCGAAAGCGGCUCUCUGGCUUGUAACUGACGCUGAGGCUCAAAAGCGUGGGGAGCAAACAGGAUUAGAUACCCCUGUAGUCCCUGUCUCUUAUACA
rnacentral:rRNA from 1 species